UGCAGUCGAGCGGGGGUAGCAAUACCCUAGCGGCGAACGGGUGAGGAAUGCUUGGGAAUCUGCCUCGUAGUGGGGGAUAACGUUCCGAAAGGAACGCUAAUACCGCAUACGUCCUACGGGAGAAAGGGGGGGAUCUUCGGACCUCUCGCUAUGAGAUGAGCCCAAGCGGGAUUAGCUAGUUGGUGAGGUAAUGGCUCACCAAGGCGACGAUCCCUAGCUGGUCUGAGAGGAUGAUCAGCCACACUGGAACUGAGACACGGUCCAGACUCCUACGGGAGGCAGCAGUGGGGAAUAUUGGACAAUGGGCGAAAGCCUGAUCCAGCCAUGCCGCGUGUGUGAAGAAGGCCUUCGGGUUGUAAAGCACUUUAAGCGAGGAGGAAGGUUCGUUACUUAAUACGUAACGGAAUUGACGUUACUCGCAGAAUAAGCACCGGCUAACUCUGUGCCAGCA
rnacentral:rRNA from 1 species